AUUGAACGCUGGCGGCAGGCCUAACACAUGCAAGUCGAACGGUAACAGGAAGAAGCUUGCUUCUUUGCUGACGAGUGGCGGACGGGUGAGUAAUGUCUGGGAAACUGCCUGAUGGGGGGGGAUAACUACUGGAAACGGUAGCUAAUACCGCAUAACGUCGCAAGACCAAAGAGGGGGACCUUCGGGCCUCUUGCCAUCGGAUGUGCCCAGAUGGGAUUAGCUAGUAGGUGGGGUAACGGCUCACCUAGGCGACGAUCCCUAGCUGGUCUGAGAGGAUGACCAGCCACACUGGAACUGAGACACGGUCCAGACUCCUACGGGAGGCAGCAGUGGGGAAUAUUGCACAAAGGGCGCAAGCCUGAUGCAGCCAUGCCGCGUGUAUGAAGAAGGCCUUCGGGUUGUAAAGUACUUUCAGCGGGGAGGAAGGGAGUAAAGUUAAUACCUUUACUCAUUGACGUUACCCGCAGAAGAAGCACCGGCUAACUCCGUG
rnacentral:rRNA from 1 species